UGGCAGCUGUUAUUGUAUGAGGUGGACAUCUUGGUACCUGGAACACCUGAGAUGCUAUGAAGUCUGCAAGAACUACUCUGCAAAGCUGCUUGUAGUCCAGCCAGAGGAACUCAACGAUUACUUCCCCCUGUCAGCUUAUAUGGUGCGAGGCAGACUGUUGAUCCCUCCAAAAGCAUUUCUGCUACAUUGAGAUGGAAGGAGUGUCAGGCACGUGCAGAGACAGACCCCUAGUGGUGCAUUUUGGCCAUGCCAACUUCAGCCUCAUCAAACUAACAGAAAAACGUGGGAAGCAUUUACUCUGCACUUAUUACAAUAAAUC